rnacentral:rRNA from 1 species
ACUCAAAGGAAUAGACGGGGGCCCGCACAAGCGGUGGAGCAUGGGGUUUAAUUCGUCACUAACCGAAGAACCUUACCCAGGCUUGACAUCCCCUGACAUCCGGUGAAAGCCGGCUUCCCCCGCGAGGGGGCAGGGAGACAGGUGUUGCAUGGCUGUCGUCAGCUCGUGUCGUGAGAUGUUGGGUUAAGUCCCGCAACGAGCGCAACCCUCACUGUGUGUUGCCAGCCGAAAGGCGCACUCACACGGAACUGCCGGGGCAACCCGGAGGAAGGCGGGGACGACGUCAAGUCGGCAUGGCCCUUACGCCUGGGGCUACACCCAUGCUACAAUGGGGCGGACAGAGGGCCGCAAUACCGCAAGGUGGAGCCAAUCCCAAAAACCGCCCCCCAGUUGGGAUCGGGGCCUGCAACUCGGCCCCGUGAACGUGGAAUCGCUAGUAAACGCCGGUCAGCCAAACGGCGUUGAAUCCGUUCCCGGGCCUUGUACACACCGCCCGU